rnacentral:rRNA from 1 species
AAGUCGUAACAAGGUUUCCGUAGGUGAACCUGCGGAAGGAUCAUUACCGAGUUAGGGUCUUCCAGGCCCGACCUCCCAACCCUUUGUUGACUAUACCAUGUUGCUUUGGUGGGCCCGCCUUUAGGGGCUCCCGGGGACAUUUAUGCCCCUGGUCAGUGCCCGCCAGUAGCCUUCUAAAAUUCUUUUCUAAUUAUGUCGUCUGAGUACAAAUAUAUCAAUCGUUAAAACUUUCAACAACGGAUCUCUUGGUUCUGGCAUCGAUGAAGAACGCAGCGAAAUGCGAUAAGUAAUGCGAAUUGCAGAAUUCAGUGAGUCAUCGAAUCUUUGAACGCAUAUUGCGCCCUUUGGUAUUCCGAAGGGCAUGCCUGUUCGAGCGUCAUUACCAACCAUCAAGCCUAGCUUGUCGUUGGACCUCUUUUGCCACUGAAAUAUAUGUGGCAGGUCCGAAAGAAAAUGACGGUGUCGUGUUUGACCCUAGAUGCAACGAGCUUUUCAUAGCACGCAUUGAAGUGGUCGGGCGACCUAGUCUUAACUAUUUUUUCUAAAGGUUGACCUCGGAUCAGGUAGGAAUACCCGCUGAACUUAAGCAUAUCAAUAAGCGGAGGAAAAGAAACCAACAGGGAUUACCCUAGUAACGGCGAGUGAAGCGGUAAUAGCUCAAAUUUGAAAUCUGACCUUCACGGGUUCGAGUUGUAAUUUGUAGAGGAUGUUUCGGGCAAAGACUUUUGGUUUAAGUUUCUUGGAACAGAACGUCAUAGAGGGUGAGAGUCCCGUCUAGAACCGAUAGUCGCUGUCCAUGUGAAACUCCUUCGAUGAGUCGAGUUGUUUGGGAAUGCAGCUCAAAAUGGGUGGUAAAUUUCAUCUAAAGCUAAAUAUUGGCCAGAGACCGAUAGCGCACAAGUAGAGUGAUCGAAAGAUGAAAAGCACUUUGAAAAGAGAGUUAAACAGUAUGUGAAAUUGUUGAAAGGGAAGCGCUUGCAACCAGACUUGCGUAUAACGGUUCCCCCAAUCUUUUGACUGGGUUAUUCUGUUAUAUCCAGGCCAGCAUCGGUUCGGGUGGUUGUUUAAAGACCUUGGGAAUGUAUCUACCUUCGGGUCGACUUAUAGCCCAGAGUGUAAUACGGCCUAUCUGGACCGAGGAACGCGCUUUUUUGCUCGGAUGCUGGCGUAAUGGUUGUAAGCGGC